CCAUAAUCCAACACCAAGGUAUGCGAUGCUAAUAAGAGCACAGCAGAUUGAAACCACCCCAAAGAUCCGGUCCCUUUCAUUGCCUCCUCUGACUCGAUGUUUUCUGACAGAACCUACAAGCAAAAACAGAUAGAAGACGGCAAGGAAUAGCAGAUUUACAGCAUCUAUGAUAGUUCUUUGUGUGCAUGGAGAACCCAAGUCGAGUUCUUCCUUACAAAUCCAAGAAAGUCUCCCAAGUGAAGUCUCCAAGAAUGCCAUCAUUGAGGGGACUAUCUCUGAUUAGAAUUUUGCUCCAGUUGCAGCAAGUAGCCUAUGCAAUACAGAGCACAAAAAGAAACUCCACAAUUCACUGAGAUAUCAAGGUAGCCGUAUCCCAACUACUCUGCAGUACUGUCAGUAGGUUUGGGUACAAGCUUUUGAA
rnacentral:misc_RNA from 1 species